rnacentral:rRNA from 1 species
CGGAGGGAUCAUUACUGAGUUUACGCUCUACAACCCUUUGUGAACAUACCUAUAACUGUUGCUUCGGCGGGUAGGGUCUCCGCGACACUCCCGGCCUCCCGCCCCCGGGCGGGUCGGCGCCCGCCGGAGGAUAACCAAACUCUGAUGUAACGACGUUUCUUCUGAGUGGUACAAGCAAAUAAUCAAAACUUUUAACAACGGAUCUCUUGGUUCUGGCAUCGAUGAAGAACGCAGCGAAAUGCGAUAAGUAAUGUGAAUUGCAGAAUUCAGUGAAUCAUCGAAUCUUUGAACGCACAUUGCGCCCGCCAGCAUUCUGGCGGGCAUGCCUGUUCGAGCGUCAUUUCAACCCUCAAGCUCUGCUUGGUGUUGGGGCCCUACAGCUGAUGUAGGCCCUCAAAGGUAGUGGCGGACCCUCCCGGAGCCUCCUUUGCGUAGUAACUUUACGUCUCGCACUGGGAUCCGGAGGGACUCUUGCCGUAAAACCCCCAAUUCUCCAAAGGUUGACCUCGGAUCAGGUAGGAAUACCCGCUGAACUUAAGCAUAUCAU